CAGUCGCCACGGUAAUACGGAGGGGGCUAGCGUUGUUCGGAAUUACUGGGCGUAAAGCGCACGUAGGCGGCUUGGUAAGUUAGAGGUGAAAGCCUGGAGCUCAACUCCAGAAUUGCCUUUAAGACUGCCGAGCUAGCAGGUGAGAGAGGUAAGUGGAAUUCCGAGUGUAGAGGUGAAAUUCGUAGAUAUUCGGAAGAACACCAGUGGCGAAGGCGGCUUACUGGCUCAUACUGGACGCUGAGGUGCGAAAGCGUGGGGAGCAAACAGGAUUAGAUACCCGAGUAGUCCCUGUCUCUUAUAC
rnacentral:rRNA from 1 species